rnacentral:rRNA from 1 species
CAAUAGCGUAUAUUUAAGUUGUUGCAGUUAAAAAGCUCGUAGUUGGAUUUCGGGUGGGACGCAGCGGUCUCGCAUUGCGUUUGUACUGCUGCAGCCCUCCUUCUUGCCGGGGGCGGCCUCUCGGACUUCACUGUCUGGGGGUCAGAAUCGGCGAUGUUACUUUGAGUAAAUUAGAGUGUUCAAAGCAAGCUUACGCUCUGAAUAUAAUAGCAUGGGAUAAUACGACAGGACUCUGGCCUAUCGUGUUGGUCUAUAGGACCAGAGUAAUGAUUAAGAGGGACAGUCGGGGGCAUUCGUAUUCCGUUGUCAGAGGUGAAAUUCUUGGAUUUACGGAAGACGAACAUCUGCGAAAGCAUUUGCCAAGGAUGUUUUCAUUGA